UACGAAGGGGGCUAGCGUUGCUCGGAAUCACUGGGCGUAAAGGGUGCGUAGGCGGGGGACCAAGUCCGGGGUGAAAUCGUUUCGGCUCAACCGGAAAACUGCCUUGGAUACUGGUCUUCUUGAGGGAGGUAGGGGCAGGUGGAACUUCCGGUGGAGCGGUGAAAUGCGUUGAUAUCGGAAGGAACGCCGGUGGCGAAGGCGGCAUCCUGGACCGGCAUUGACGCUGAGG
rnacentral:rRNA from 1 species